GACGAACGCUGGCGGCGUGCUUAACACAUGCAAGUCGAACGGAAAGGCCCUGCUUUUGUGGGGUGCUCGAGUGGCGAACGGGUGAGUAACACGUGAGUAACCUGCCCUUGACUUUGGGAUAACUUCAGGAAACUGGGGCUAAUACCGGAUAGGAGCUCCUGCUGCAUGGUGGGGGUUGGAAAGUUUCGGCGGUUGGGGAUGGACUCGCGGCUUAUCAGCUUGUUGGUGGGGUAGUGGCUUACCAAGGCUUUGACGGGUAGCCGGCCUGAGAAGGUGACCGGCCACAUUGGGACUGAGAUACGGCCCAGACUCCUACGGGGGGCAGCAGUGGGGAAUAUUGCACAAUGGGCGGAAGCCUGAUGCAGCAACGCCGCGUGCGGGAUGACGGCCUUCGGGUUGUAAACCGCUUUCGCCUGUGACGAAGCGUGAGUGACGGUAAUGGGUAAAGAAGCACCGGCUAACUACGUG
rnacentral:rRNA from 1 species